CCUACGGGUCGCAGCAGUGGGGAAUUUUCCGCAAUGGGCGAAAGCCUGACGGGGCAAUGCCGCGUGGAGGUAGAAGGCCCACGGGUCGUGAACUUCUUUUCCCGGAGAAGAAGCAAUGACGGUAUCUGGGGAAUAAGCAUCGGCUAACUCUGUGCCAGCAGCCGCGGUAAUACAGAGGAUGCAAGCGUUAUCCGGAAUGAUUGGGCGUAAAGCGUCUGUAGGUGGCUUUUUAAGUCCGCCGUCAAAUCCCAGGGCUCAACCCUGGACAGGCGGUGGAAACUACCAAGCUGGAGUACGGUAGGGGCGGAGGGAAUUUCCGGUGGAGUGGUGAAAUGCGUAGAGAUCGGAAAGAACACCAACGGCGAAAGCGCUCUGCUGGGCCGACACUGACACUGAGAGACGAAAGCUAGGGGAGCGAAUGGGAUUAGAUACCCCUGUAGUC
rnacentral:rRNA from 1 species